rnacentral:rRNA from 1 species
UACAGAGGUCUCAAGCGUUGUCCGGAAUCAUUGGGCGUAAAGAGCGCGUAGGCGGCCCUGUAAGUCCGCUGUGAAAGUCAAGGGCUCAACCCUUGAAUGCCGGUGGGUACUGCAGGGCUAGAGUCCGGAAGAGGUGAGUGGAAUUCCUGGUGUAGCGGUGAAAUGCGCAGAUAUCAGGAAGAACACCAAUGGCGAAGGCGGGUCUCUGGCCGAUAUCGACGCUGAGGAGCGAAAGCGUGGGGAGCGAACAGG